rnacentral:rRNA from 1 species
UACGGAGGGUGCAAGCGUUGUCCGGAUUUAUUGGGUUUAAAGGGUGCGUAGGCGGCCCUGUAAGUCAGUGGUGAAAUACUGCAGCUUAACUGUAGCAUUGCCAUUGAUACUGUAGGGCUUGAGUACAGAUGAGGUAGGCGGAAUUGAUGGUGUAGCGGUGAAAUGCGCAGAUAUCAGGAGGAACACCGGUGGCGAAGGCGGGUCUCUGGGCCGAUAUUGACGCUGAGGAGCGAAAGCGUGGGGAGCGAACAGG